rnacentral:tRNA from 1 species
GCCGAAAUAGCUCAGUUGGUAGAGCAAACGAUUCGUAAUCGUUGGGUCGGGGGUUCAAAUCCUCUUUUCGGCACCA